AUAAAUACAAAAAUGUAGAUAUCAUUUCAUUCGCUAUCAGAAAAAGCAUAAUCAUGUAUCAAAUCGUGUGGGCUCUACUCCUGACAUCUUCACUUACGGGAAAUUUCGCAGUACCAGCUGUACCAGACAACCAAAAAACACAGGAUGGUGUUGGACAUGCUCAUCCAAUUGGUAAAGCAGUUAACGUACGGCAAUUCAGGUCCGUUAUCUUGGACUUAAAAAAUUUUCUAGAUGAAUAUUACCUAGGUUUUUCCCGUGGACUUAGUUUUUUUGGAGACUUUAUUAUAAAUUGAAUAUACAUAGAUAUGGACUAUCGCAAAAAAAAUUUCAUUAAAACUUUGAUGGAUGUAAGUUUGUAAAUGCUGUAUGAUUAACAAUCGCCCAUCCCCAUUUUGCCCAUGAGAAGUUGGAAUUUUGUGAACACGCAAUCGUAUCUUGUAGCGUCAGUAAAACAAGUGACGAUAUCAGUACCAAUAAACAACUAGCAUACCGUUUAAAACAAAUUUUAAUAAAAAUUUAACCCGCAAAUUGAGGGACUAAUAUUGAAUGUUAAUGCAACAUUGCGCAAUCUUAAAAUACUUACCUACCGGGACUAAAUGCUUCGCAAAGUGCGUUCUCAAUGAAGCGUAUCAACAAUACUGCACGAAAGGAAACUUCACAGAAAUAUCACAAGGUGCGACGAAGAUAAUCAAAGUAAAAAAUAUGAGAGCAUUACGAUUUACAAGUCAACAACCGAAGCUCUCUAGGGAAAUAAAUCAAUAAAAAAUUUAAACUAAAGGUACUUUGCGUGACCUCUAGUGGCAGAAUAAUAAACUACCAAAUGCCAAUAAUCUAAACUACAUAGAAUUUUAAGAAAAAUAUACAAAUGGCGUAAAUAGUAUCCGAAAUGAAUAUUUAACUAGCCAAAAAUAUGGAGAAAAUUAGAAACCAUCCGAAAGGUUGCCCGCCCUUAUUACAAGGUACAAGAAGGUAGCAUAUACCAUUCUUUUCCCUAAAUAUGUUCAUCAUAGGUAGAGGCGAUGGUUAGUCCCUUGAAAUUGUGCGUACGAACACAUCAGAGACCCUGGAUUUUAAGGACUGUCAUGAUGAUCCAACCGCUGGGCACCUAGGAGUUUCGAAAACGAUGUAGAAGGUAUUCCCGAACUGUUACCGGCCCAGGAGCACUCAAGAAAUAAUUAAAUAUGUAAGGAAACGUGACACCUGUUUGAAAUACGAACACAAAACCCACGGUUAAUUAUAUUUCACUAAGGUCAAGCAAGAGGAA